rnacentral:lncRNA from 1 species
AUGACCAUGAACUCUACGGUUACCUCUGUGUGUCACAGGAAGACUCUUAAUGAAUGCUUCCAAGUUGACUUAAGCAGUGUUCCAUGGUCACCAGGUGUCUGGUUGCCUCUGUGUGUUAGAAGCUUGGAGACCAGUGUGAGCCUGGACACUAACGCAGAAUGGGCAGACCCACGCCUUCUGCUGUGAUUGCUCUCUGUGGUUGCCUCCGGGUGGGAGCCUGGACACUAACGGAGGUAACAGUCAAUCUUCUUGUCAUAUUUUUGUAUUUGUUUAAGGUAGGU